GACCUUUUUGAUCGGUUUAUG
rnacentral:snRNA from 1 species